rnacentral:rRNA from 1 species
UACAGAGGUCUCAAGCGUUGUUCGGAUUCAUUGGGCGUAAAGGGUGCGUAGGCGGCGCGGUAAGUCGGGUGUGAAAUCUCGGAGCUUAACUCCGAAACUGCAUUCGAUACUGCCGUGCUUGAGGACUGGAGAGGAGACUGGAAUUUACGGUGUAGCGGUGAAAUGCGUAGAUAUCUGGAGGAACACCGGUGGCGAAGGCGGCAUCCUGGACCAACACUGACACUGAGGAGCGAAAGCCAGGGGAGCAAACGGGAUUAGAA